ACUCCUGCGGGAGGCAGCAGUGGGGAAUAUUGGACAAUGGGCGCAAGCCUGAUCCAGCCAUGCCGCGUGAGUGAUGAAGGCCCUAGGGUUGUAAAGCUCUUUCACCGGUGAAGAUAAUGACGGUAACCGGAGAAGAAGCCCCGGCUAACUUCGUGCCAGCAGCCGCGGUAAUACGAAGGGGGCUAGCGUUGUUCGGAUUUACUGGGCGUAAAGCGCACGUAGGCGGACUAUUAAGUCAGGGGUGAAAUCCCGGGGCUCAACCCCGGAACUGCCGUUGAUACUGGUAGUCUUGAGUUCGAGAGAGGUGAGUGGAAUUCCGAGUGUAGAGGUGAAAUUCGUAGAUAUUCGGAGGAACACCAGUGGCGAAGGCGGCUCACUGGCUCGAUACUGACGCUGAGGUGCGAAAGCGUGGGGAGCAAACAGGAUUAGAAACCCCAGUAGUCCCA
rnacentral:rRNA from 1 species